AGCUGGCGGCGUGCUAUACUGCAAGUCGUUNCAGACAGAAUGGGAGCUUGCUCCCGGAUGUUAGUCGGCGGACGGGUGAGUAACACGUGGGUAACCUGCCUGUAAGACUGGGAUAACUCCGGGAAACCGGAGCUAAUACCGGAUAGUUCCUUGAACCGCAUGGUUCAAGGAUGAAAGACGGUUUCGGCUGUCACUUACAGAUGGACCCGCGGCGCAUUAGCUAGUUGGUGAGGUAACGGCUCACCAAGGCGACGAUGCGUAGCCGACCUGAGAGGGUGAUCGGCCACACUGGGACUGAGACACGGCCCAGACUCCUACGGGAGGCAGCAGUAGGGAAUCUUCCGCAAUGGACGAAAGUCUGACGGAGCAACGCCGCGUGAGUGAUGAAGGUUUUCGGAUCGUAAAGCUCUGUUGUUAGGGAAGAACAAGUGCAAGAGUAACUGCUUGCACCUUGACGGUACCUAACCAGAAAGCCACGGCUAACUACGUGCCAGCAGCCGCGGUAAUACGUAGGUGGCAAGCGUUGUCCGGAAUUAUUGGGCGUAAAGGGCUCGCAGGCGGUUUCUUAAGUCUGAUGUGAAAGCCCCCGGCUCAACCGGGGAGGGUCAUUGGAAACUGGGAAACUUGAGUGCAGAAGANGAGAGUGGAAUUCCACGUUGUAGCGGUGAAAUGCGUAGAGAUGUGGAGGAACACCAGUGGCGAAAGGCGACUCUCUGGGUCUGUAACUGACGCUGAGAGCGAAAGCGUGGGG
rnacentral:rRNA from 1 species